rnacentral:rRNA from 1 species
ACAAGUAGUCAGAGCCCGUUAAUGGGUGAUGGCGUGCCUUUUGUAGAAUGAACCGGCGAGUUACGAUUUGAUGCAAGGUUAAGCAGUAAAUGUGGAGCCGUAGCGAAAGCGAGUCUGAAUAGGGCGUUUAGUAUUUGGUCGUAGACCCGAAACCAGGUGAUCUACCCUUGGUCAGGUUGAAGUUCAGGUAACACUGAAUGGAGGACCGAACCGACUUACGUUGAAAAGUGAGCGGAUGAACUGAGGGUAGCGGAGAAAUUCCAAUCGAACCUGGAGAUAGCUGGUUCUCUCCGAAAUAGCUUUAGGGCUAGCCUCAAGUGAUGAUUAUUGGAGGUAGAGCACUGUUUGGACGAGGGGCCCCUCUCGGGUUACCGAAUUCAGACAAACUCCGAAUGCCAAUUAAUUUAACUUGGGAGUCAGAACAUGGGUGAUAAGGUCCGUGUUCGAAAGGGAAACAGCCCAGACCACCAGCUAAGGUCCCAAAAUAUAUGUUAAGUGGAAAAGGAUGUGGCGUUGCCCAGACAACUAGGAUGUUGGCUUAGAAGCAGCCAUCAUUUAAAGAGUGCGUAAUAGCUCACUAGUCGAGUGACACUGCGCCGAAAAUGUACCGGGGCUAAACAUAUUACCGAAGCUGUGGAUUG